AGAUUACCCCCUAGUUCAACGUGUCUUCUAUCCUUCCCACUUCCAGAACCCCCAACAGCUUCAUCAAGACCACCGCCUAAAAUGUUUCUCUCAAUUAAAGGCGUGAACCUAGAUCCCAACGGAUCUUUGCCUAAUUUUGCAGUCUCGUUAGCCCUAAAAUCACGUGAUCCCCUUCGUGAUUUCUUCUCAACUAACAUCCAUGGUCCGAAAUCAUUGUUCUUUCCUUCUCCGCCCUCAUCGACCGUUCCAUCAGAAGUCUUCACCGUUGGGGCCUCCAUACUAUCCAAAAUCAUCUUCGGCCUUUCCAAAGCCGCACCACUCCCGUCCACGAACACAACUCUUUGACGUGCCCAUAUCGUCCACAGCUGAAACAAACCGUCGGGAAGGAUUUAUAUUCUACCCGUUGGAUAUCACCAUCGACCAAAACCUUUGAGAUAAGAGGUUCGUCAAGAUUAACAAACACUGCCAAUUGGGCAAACUUUCCCCUUGUGCUAUUAUCAGUUUGGAAAUAUAAUUUGACAACUUUUCCGACUAAACCCCCAAUUGCUUCAAUAAUUAGCCUUUUGUACAGAUAACCCGGAAGCCCCGGCAGACGGACCCAAGCCAGCACCACGCUGGGGUAAAGCUGCGCUGGGUUGAACUUUCUCGUCCCAGGCUGAACAAUGAGGUAUUGCUCGAAAAUUAUCCACGGCCCUUGAGUUAAAACUUUGUUAUAAUCCUCCAUGUCCUGAAACUUAACAAAAAAAUAACCAUUGGUAAUAUCCAUUAGAUGAAAAGAAUUCGCAGGUUUCCAUAGGUUAAGUAAACGGUUAUAAAGCACGUUAUAACCAAUGUUUCGCCCGAGUAGUUUAAAAAUAACCGUUGAUUCCAUUUCUUUAAAGAGAAUAUCUUUGAUGCAUUCCGAAAAAGCAAUUGCCGGAAUCCCAUUAACCAUUGAGGUAUUCAUGUCACCAUCCAGAAUUUCUAAGUCGCCUUCAUUUCUUCCAAGAUUCCUUGCAGGAUUCCCAUCAGAGAAGGCCACUCUCUGCUCAAGAGUUUGUCUUUAAACGACAUCUUCGGUUGUUGUUCAGAAUCCACCACCAUAAUAGUUUCAUCAACAACACCAGCUUCCUUAAAACGUACUUUUUUGGUAUUCCGAUCACCGACAUCACAGAGAUCACUAGCAGAACCGUUAUCGCACAUUUUUUCAAUUAGAAAGUAAACAAAACAAUGAUUUUCCCAUAGGAUACUUCCCUUUCUCUUUUAAUUACACAUUCCUGCAAUUUUUUUUCCAAUUCUUUAACUAAUCAUUGAAAGCAUCAUUUUUAAUUCUUCAUUAAUGUUUAUAUACAUUGAAACUAUUUCGAAUGUAAUAUCUUCAUUAUAGUAGUUUAAAUUAGAAUGUUUUAGAAAUUAAUUCUCAAAUUGAUACAAAACAUUAAAGGAUACUAAAUUAUUUUUCAUUAAUGUUCUUUAGCGUAUACCUAUUCGACCAGUUUUUUGCUAAGGCUGGUCUUGAAAAUGGAAACCCAUACAUUAUAAAGUUACCCACUUUAUAUAUGUUGCUUCAAGUUCUAUUGAAGCAGCAUAUUUUAGAUAUGCGGCGGUGGCCAUAGAUGAAAGGAAACUGUUUUGG
rnacentral:lncRNA from 1 species